rnacentral:rRNA from 1 species
AAUCAACGCUGGCGGCGUGCCUAACACAUGCAAGUCGAACGCGAAAGGGGCUUCGGCCCUGAGUAGAGUGGCGAACGGGUGAGUAACACGUGGGUGACCUACCUUCGAGUGGGGGAUAACGUCCCGAAAGGGACGCUAAUACCGCAUUACAUCCCGCCUUUGAACAGGCGGAGAUCAAAGCCGGGGAUCGCAGGACCUGGCGCUUGAAGAGGGGCCCGCGUCCGAUUAGCUAGUUGGUGAGGAACGGCUCACCAAGGCUACGAUCGGUAGCCGGCCUGAGAGGGCGGACGGCCACACUGGGACUGAGACACGGCCCAGACUCCUACGGGAGGCAGCAGUGGGGAAUUGUUCACAAUGGGCGCAAGCCUGAUGACGCAACGCCGCGUGGAGGAUGAAGGUCUUCGGAUUGUAAACUCCUGUUGCCCGGGACGAAAAGCUCCGACCUAAUACGUCGGAGUCUGACGGUACCGGGUGAGGAAGCCCCGGCUAACUCUGUGCCAGC